rnacentral:lncRNA from 1 species
AGAGGGGCCAGACCCAGCUGGCCCUUAGGGACCUCCUUUGACCCAGGCCUCCAACGGAAGUGUACCACUGGUUAACCCAGAAUGGCAACUGUAGACCAAGGCUAUCACGGGCACAGUUUUCAGUUGCCCAGGGGGUGGAAGGGAUUCAGUCCAGUAAAUGAAGAUGGAACUGCUUACCCCUUUGUGAAGAAGAGGGCUCACACCAUACUAAACAAGAGCAGAAUUUGAAGCAGUGAUCCUUCCCUUGGGGCAGCCAGCCCUGAAAUGAGAACAAGAUUUGAUGAGGAGGAAAGCCUGUGAAGUCCAACAAGACUGCUUUCAUACUUCCUUCCCGUUUGUGUUAGCUGGCUGUCACGGAGUGAUCUAGAUCAGUGUAUGCCUGUGGCGGGGCAGUGGGCCUGUUUUCCUGUGUUUGGCUUCCUUGCUUUGCCAUGAUGCUGUCUUGAGUUCAUGUGCUGGACUCUUGUAUUUCGUGUCUUUGUUUUGCUUUGCUCUGUUUUCCUUGUUGUUUGCCGUUCUUUUGUCAGUCUUGCUUUAUUGCUGCUCCUGUGUUGCAAUACCUUGGUUUUGUUCAGAUGUGGUGAUUGAUACUUUUCCCUUUCCCAUUCUUGGAACUCUUUUCUCCCUCCUUCAGGGUGUUCCUCUUUGUUUCUCGGCUUUUCAGGUGAUUUGGCUUUGCCUUCCUUGGCUUUUUGGGACUUCCUCUUUUGGUUCUUGUUCCUGGAUUUGCUUUCGUUUUGUAUAUUUGCCUUGCUUGUGAAUUUCCCUUCUUUUCUGUGCUAAGCACUGUGCGAAGUUUAGGGGUGGGAAAAGGUACCGAGGUGCAUGGAUAUGGAGAAGAGAAGCUCUCCUGCUGUGGCUGAGAGGUGAUCCAAAGGAGGCCUCCCGAGCAAGCACCGCAAAGGCAGCUUGCUUCUCCAGAGGCUGCAGCAUAAGCUCGUGUUCCUUGUGGAGGACUGCGUUGUGCAUCUGCAGGAGCUGCUUUGGCAUGGAGGAUUUUGUGGAGUUGCUGCCAGUCGUUGCUCGGAUGAAGUGAGGCUUUUGUCCUUGUAUCUGUGCAG